rnacentral:rRNA from 1 species
GAUGAACGCUGGCGGCGUGCUUAACACAUGCAAGUCGAACGGAAAGGCUCCUGCUUGCAGGGGUACUCGAGUGGCGAACGGGUGAGUAACACGUGGGUGAUCUGCCCUGCACUUCGGGAUAAGCCUGGGAAACUGGGUCUAAUACCGGAUAGGACGAUGGUUUGGAUGCCAUUGUGGAAAGUUUUUUCGGUGUGGGAUGAGCUCGCGGCCUAUCAGCUUGUUGGUGGGGUAAUGGCCUACCAAGGCGUCGACGGGUAGCCGGCCUGAGAGGGUGUACGGCCACAUUGGGACUGAGAUACGGCCCAGACUCCUACGGGAGGCAGCAGUGGGGAAUAUUGCACAAUGGGCGCAAGCCUGAUGCAGCGACGCCGCGUGGGGGAUGACGGCCUUCGAGUUGUAAACUCCUUUCGCUAGGGACGAAGCGCAAGUGACGGUACCUGGAGAAGAAGCACCGGCUAACUACGUG